AGGUAUUAGGUUGGUGCAAAAGUAAUUGCAGUUUUGGCCAUUACUUUCACAAGCAAAAACAUCAAUUACUUUUGCACCAACAUAAUAUU
rnacentral:miRNA from 1 species